rnacentral:rRNA from 1 species
UACGUAGGGGGCAAGCGUUGUCCGGAUUUAUUGGGCGUAAAGAGCGUGUAGGCGGCCAUGUAGGUCCGUUGUGAAAACUCGAGGCUCAACCUCGAGACGCCGAUGGAAACCAUGUGGCUAGAGUCCGGAAGAGGAGAGUGGAAUUCCUGGUGUAGCGGUGAAAUGCGCAGAUAUCAGGAGGAACACCGGCGGCGAAGGCGGCACUCUGGGCCGGUACUGACGCUGAGACGCGAAAGCGUGGGGAGCGAACAGG